ACGUGCGUGGUGCGUGUCUCCCUCUGCCGCCCUCUCAGAAAGACGCUUAUGAGCAGGCGUGGGACCUGCUGGACUUUCCCAGAUGAUCCCCCGAUCUCAUGAUCCCUUGCUCACAGCUGCAAAAUCUUUACCACAGGGAAUACCAUGCAGGACACAGUGGAAAGGUGACCAUCUCAAGCCAGGAAGAGAAGCCUCACUGGCACCGACGCUGCUGGCACCUUGACCUUGGACUUCCAGCUUCCAGAACUGGAGAAAUAAAUUGUCGUGGCAUAAACUGGAACCCUGCCUCUGAGACAGUCUGGAGAACGGCGUUUCUGGGCUUCCAGCUCCUGCUAUGGAGGUGAUAGUAACGAUCAGUGUGAGAAUGGGUUUCAGGUUCCAACAGACAAUUGAUAAAAUAGACUGUCCAUUUCGAAGACACUCAGAACAUCCAAUCUGCCCACCAGUUUUGUCUGCUUUACCUACAUAAUGCAGUUCAAAUCCAUUUCAGUUUGAUCUCUGUACUCUGCAACUGCCAGUAAUUCAAGAUAACAGUGCUUCUCAUGUGAAGUAUUACAACAUUUAUCUUGUUUUCCUCUUCCCGCAUUGCCCUCUGUAUUACCCAUGAUAAGUCUGGUUAUGCCGUGGUUACAAACAAUUCCAAAAUGGCAGUGGCUUAACCCAACUAGUAUUCCUUUCAUGCUCCUGUUAUAUGCUUCUUAUGGACUUUCAAGGGACUCUGUUGUGUAUCAUCAUUUAGGGGCCCAGGCUGACUGAGACUCCACCACCAUACAGAGUAGCGUCUGGAAUAUUCAGCCGCCUCCACGGCUGUGGCACAAAAUGUAAAGGGCUGGAGCACUGUUGAUGGGGGUUUGACGACUAAGCCGACCAGUGACAUGGCCCCACUCAACUCCAAGAAAUAUGAAAUAUGGACUAUUUGGUUGAAACUAAUGUUUAUACCACACUUCCUAUAGUCAGCUUUCUAUAUUUCAUCCAGAUGAAUAGUUACAGAACAUAAGUCAGAUCAUAUCAUUCUUUCUGCUUAAAAACAUUCAGGUGUUCCAGUUGGCACAUAAAAUAGAACUAAGACCUUUUAUUAUGUUCUACCAGACACUACAGGAUCUGCAUUAGCAUUUUUAAAAUUUCUUAAUGUUUAUUUAUUUUUAAGAGAGAGAGAGAAUGACAGCAGAGGAGGGCCGGAGAAAGAGACACAGAAUCCAAAGCAGGUUCCAGGUUCUGAGCUGUCAGCAC